rnacentral:ncRNA from 1 species
GUCUUUGAGGCAGGGUGCAAGUCCCUACCGGCGGUAUAGCCCGCGAGCCUUUAUUUAGGCAUGAUACGGUGAAAAUCCGUAGCCGACAGUACAGUCUGGAUGAGAAAAGAC